UCUUAAUUGAUGUGGCUAAUGAGGUGAUUGUUGAUUUAGAUAUCAAUUCUUGACCAAAUUUGCCAAGUAUAGCAAUAAACCAAAAGCUUAGCAAUUCAAUGUAAAAUAAUUUCACUUGGAGGGUUUAAUAGCCAAAACAGAAAGUUCAGGGGUGAAAAUAUGGGUUAUUCCUAAUUAUAAGUGGUUCAGAUUUUCCGUUGCAUGUAAGUUUAUUGAGUGCUUUUAAUGAAGAUA
rnacentral:misc_RNA from 1 species